GAUGAACGCUGGCGGCGUGCCUAAUACAUGCAAGUCGAGCGAACGGACGAGAAGCUUGCUUUUCUGAUGUUAGCGGCGGACGGGUGAGUAACACGUGGAUAACCUACCUAUAGGACUGGGAUAACUUCGGGAAACCGGAGCUAAUACCGGAUAAUAUUUUGAACCGCAUGGUUCAAAAGUGAAAGACGGUCUUGCUGUCACUUAUAGAUGGAUCCGCGCUGCAUUAGCUAGUUGGUAAGGUAACGGCUUACCAAGGCAACGAUGCAUAGCCGACCUGAGAGGGUGAUCGGCCACACUGGAACUGAGACACGGUCCAGACUCCUACGGGAGGCAGCAGUAGGGAAUCUUCCGCAAUGGGCGAAAGCCUGACGGAGCAACGCCGCGUGAGUGAUGAAGGUCUUCGGAUCGUAAAACUCUGUUAUUAGGGAAGAACAUAUGUGUAAGUAACUGUGCACAGCUUGACGGUACCUAAUCAGAAAGCCACGGCUAACUACGUG
rnacentral:rRNA from 1 species